ensembl:snoRNA SNORA73 Small nucleolar RNA SNORA73 family
CUGACGGUGACAGCCAGUGGUUCUCUGGUGUGUCCUGGUGGCGUAUGGGAGCGUAGCUCUGCUAUGACGUACAGUCCCGUUCCACAGCGUCGGACAAAAAGCUCCGUCCCCGGCUUCCGGCCGGCGAGGACGAGCGUCCUGCAUAUUCCUACAACUUCCCAGAGUCCUUUGGGGCCGUGACUGGGGAGCCAAACCAUGCAGUGCACAGCC